CCACCACCACCACCACCACUCACCACUCCUCACCACUCACCACUCCUCACCACCACUCCUCACCACUCCUCACCAUGGCCGGCCCUGCACUCCGCGCGAGCGUCCGCGCGGUGAGACAAAGACGGACGGGGCCUACACGGGCAGCGCUCAUCCUGACUCCGGCUGCUGUUAUGAAGAUCAGACAGCUCAUGGAGAACAAACCAGAAUACUUAGGUGUUAAGGUUGGAGUGCGGACCCGGGGCUGCAACGGGCUCUCGUACACACUGGAGUACACUGCCUCAGCAGGAGCCCUUGAUGAAGAAGUCACACAGGAUGGCGUGCGCGUGUACGUGGACCAGAAGGCGCAACUGUCUCUGCUGGGCUCAGAGAUGGACUACUCCGAGAGCCGGCUGGGCUCGGAGUUCGUCUUCAACAAUCCCAACGUGCGGGGCACCUGCGGUUGUGGGGAGAGCUUCAACGUCUGACUAACACAAUAAGCACACACACUAACACAUACAUACACUAACACAAUAAACACACACAUACACACUAACACAUACACUAACACAAUAAACACAUACAUACACUAACACAAUAGACAUACAGA